GUCGCGCCCGGCAUUAUGUUCAAUUCUCAUCUUGUUAAAAGCACAAUGUGUUUUUAUUUCUUACAAAACCAAGAGGUUUUAUUGUCAGUAAUGUCGUGUUUUAAAAUAGCGCAGCCGUAUGCCAGAAAGCAGGUAAACAGGGGGACAAGACAAGUCCAGACUGGGCCUCCAUCCGGAUCAUCACACACACACAGGAAUGCAGGCACGCUGGGGAGUCGAGAGGGUGGUUGGAAGAGCAAGCGAGAAUCACGCAACGUAUCACGAGAUCUCCGGAAAUGGUAGCUCAGGCGCCUGGUUGAAGUGUCCCGUUAAGAAGAUCCCCACUGUGCCAAUGAUGAAGAGGAGAAUGGCAGCCCAGAAGCAAACCUUGUCAAUCAUCUUCCCGAUCAGGACCCAGCUUUCAAUUUCC